GACAGAGGGGGCAAGCGUUGUCCGGAGUUACUGGGCGUAAAGGGCGCGCAGGCGGUCUGCGGCGUCGGCGCUGAAAGCGCCCCGCUUAACGGGGCGAGGCGUGCCGAUACGCGCAGACUUGAGGCGAGCAGAGGGUGGUGGAAUUCCGGGUGGAGCGGUGAAAUGCGUAGAGAUCCGGAGGAACGCCAGUGGGGAAGCAGGCUACCUGGGCUCGGCCUGACGGUGCGGCGGGACCGCGUGGGGAGCAAACCGG
rnacentral:rRNA from 1 species